GAGAGCUUGCUUUCUUGAGCGAGUGGCGAACGGGUGAGUAACGCGUGAGGAACCUGCCUCAAAGAGGGGGACAACAGUUGGAAACGACUGCUAAUACCGCAUAAGCCCACGACCCGGCAUCGGGUAGAGGGAAAAGGAGCAAUCCGCUUUGAGAUGGCCUCGCGUCCGAUUAGCUAGUUGGUGAGGUAACGGCCCACCAAGGCGACGAUCGGUAGCCGGACUGAGAGGUUGAACGGCCACAUUGGGACUGAGACACGGCCCAGACUCCUACGGGAGGCAGCAGUGGGGAAUAUUGCACAAUGGGGGAAACCCUGAUGCAGCGACGCCGCGUGGAGGAAGAAGGUCUUCGGAUUGUAAACUCCUGUUGUUGAGGAAGAUAAUGACGGUACUCAACAAGGAAGUGGCGGCUAACUACGUGCCAGCAGCCGCGGUAAAACGUAGGUCACAAGCGUUGUCCGGAAUUACUGGGUGUAAAGGGAGCGCAGGCGGGAAGACAAGUUGGAAGUGAAAUCCAUGGGCUCAACCCAUGAACUGCUUUCAAAACUGUUUUUCUUGAGUAGUGCAGAGGUAGGCGGAAUUCCCGGUGUAGCGGUGGAAUGCGUAGAUAUCGGGAGGAACACCAGUGGCGAAGGCGGCCUACUGGGCACCAACUGACGCUGAGGCUCGAAAGUGUGGGUAGCAAACAGGAUUAGAUACCCUGGUAGUCCACACUGUAAACGAUGAUUACUAGGUGUUGGAGGAUUGACCCCUUCAGUGCCGCAGUUAACACAAUAAGUAAUCCACCUGGGGAGUACGACCGCAAGGUUGAAACUCAAAGGAAUUGACGGGGGCCCGCACAAGCAGUGGAGUAUGUGGUUUAAUUCGACGCA
rnacentral:rRNA from 1 species